rnacentral:rRNA from 1 species
UGGUGGGNNNNNNNNGUUUAAUUCGAUGCAACGCGAAGAACCUUACCAAGGCUUGACAUAUACGAGAACGGGCCAGAAAUGGUCAACUCUUUGGACACUCGUAAACAGGUGGUGCAUGGUUGUCGUCAGCUCGUGUCGUGAGAUGUUGGGUUAAGUCCCGCAACGAGCGCAACCCUCGUUCUAUGUUGCCAGCACGUAAUGGUGGGAACUCAUGGGAUACUGCCGGGGUCAACUCGGAGGAAGGUGGGGAUGACGUCAAAUCAUCAUGCCCCUUAUGUCUUGGGCUUCACGCAUGCUACAAUGGCCGGUACAAAGGGCUGCAAUACCGCGAGGUGGAGCGAAUCCCAAAAAGCCGGUCCCAGUUCGGAUUGAGGUCUGCAACUCGNCCUCANGAAGUCGGAGUCGC